GUCUACGGCCAUACCACCCUGAACACACCGCAUCUUGUCUGAUCUCGGAAGCUAAGCAGGGUCGGGCCUGGUUAGUACUUGCAUGGGAGACAACAUUAUGGAGUUAAUUGACAUGGUAC
ensembl:rRNA 5S_rRNA 5S ribosomal RNA